rnacentral:rRNA from 1 species
GCCUGCCCAGUGACCAUGUGUUCAACGGCCGCGGUAUUCUGACCGCGCGAAGGUAGCGUAAUCACUUGUCUUCUAAAUAAAGACUAGUAUGAACGGCCACACGAAGACUUAACUGUCUCCCCUGUCCAAUCAGUGAAACUGAUCUCCUUGUGCAGAAGCGAGGAUGAACCCAUAAGACGAGAAGACCCUAUGGAGCUUUAAACUUAAUAUUAACUAUUUCUAAAUCUCCUCUAAGGAAUUAACAAAUAACCCUUUUCAACUUAAUAUUAGUUUUAGGUUGGGGCGACCAUGGAGAAAAAAAUAUCCUCCCUGAUGACUUUUAAACCAAGAGCUACAGCUCUAAGUAUUAAGAUACUUAACUUCCAUUGACCCAUUUUAUGAUCAACGAACCAAGUUACCCUAGGGAUAACAGCGCAAUCCAUUUCAAGAGUCCUUAUCGACAAAUGGGUUUACGACCUCGAUGUUGGAUCAGGGCAUCCCAGUGGUGCAACCGCUACUAAUGGUUCGUUUGUUCAACGAUUAAAGCCCU